AGAGCCAUAUAGUGUGGCAGUGAAUAUACGUGCUAUCUCCAUCUCAGAGGUCGUCUCUACUUUUCCCUCUUGCCCUUUCAGUAUAGAUGUGAUUUCUGGUUCUCUUACAGAUUGUUUGCUUUGCGAGAUCGAAUGUUAUGUUGCAGUCUCUUGGUAAAUGAUGCCUAGUUGGUGUUUUAUUUUCAUUUAAUUUUUACAGUCUGUUCUGUAUUGAGGGAAUUCAGGAAAGAGACAAACAUAUGUUAGCAUUUUAAUCAGGGAAAUUAAGUUUGAGUCAGCCUAGCUGAACUUCCUUUGCUAAAUAAAGAAGAAAACUUUUCUGGCAGCCCCGUUAAUACACAGCUAGGAUACCUCACGAGCCUGACAGAUGCAUCCAAGAAGUCAGAUUCAAAUCCGCUGACUGAAAUACUUAAGUGUCCUACUAAAGUGGUCCUACUAAGGAACAUGGUUGGUGCAGGAGAGGUGGAUGAAGACUUGGAAGUUGAAACCAAGGAAGAAUGUGAAAAAUAUGGCAAAGUUGGAAAAUGUGUGAUAUUUGAAAUUCCUGGUGCCCCUGAUGAUGAAGCAGUACGGAUAUUUUUAGAAUUUGAGAGAGUUGAAUCAGCAAUUAAAGCGGUUGUUGACUUGAAUGGGAGGUAUUUUGGUGGACGGGUGGUAAAAGCAUGUUUCUACAAUUUGGACAAAUUCAGGGUCUUGGAUUUGGCAGAACAAGUUUGAUUUUAAGAACUAGAGCACGAGUCAUCUCCGGUGAUCCUUAAGUGAACUGCAGGCUGAGAAAAGAAGGAAAAAGGUCACAGCCUCAUGGCUGUUGCAUACCAAGACUCUUGGAAGGACUUCUAAGAUAUAUGUUGAUUGAUCCCUUUUUUAUUUUGUGGUUUUUUAAUAUAGUAUAAAAAUCCUUUUAAAAAAACAACAAUCUGUGUGCC
rnacentral:sRNA from 1 species